rnacentral:rRNA from 1 species
GAUGAACGCUGGCGGCGUGCCUAAUACAUGCAAGUCGAGCGAACAGACGAGGAGCUUGCUCCUCUGACGUUAGCGGCGGACGGGUGAGUAACACGUGGAUAACCUACCUAUAAGACUGGGAUAACUUCGGGAAACCGGAGCUAAUACCGGAUAAUAUAUUGAACCGCAUGGUUCAAUAGUGAAAGACGGUUUUGCUGUCACUUAUAGAUGGAUCCGCGCCGGAUUAGCUAGUUGGUAAGGUAACGGCUUACCAAGGCGACGAUGCGUAGCCGACCUGAGAGGGUGAUCGGCCACACUGGAACUGAGACACGGUCCAGACUCCUACGGGAGGCAGCAGUAGGGAAUCUUGCGCAAUGGGCGAAAGCCUGACCGAGCCACGCCGCGUGAGUGAAGAAGGUCUUCGGGUCGUAAAACUCUGUUAUUAGGGAAGAAAAAAAGUGUGAGUAAACCUGCACGUUCUGACGGUACCUAAUCAAAAAGCCCCGGCUAACUACGUG